AGCUACACAUUAGUCUGUGAAUAAAGAGAAGAGAUCAGUUUCAUUUCUAUUAUAGUCAGUUAAUUUUGUACAGGUUUAGAGAAAUGGCAAUAUACUAUGCCAAUUGACAGUAUGUGUGCAUACUGGUGUUUUUUUUUUUUGCCGUUUCAUUGUAGAGGGAAAUCAAAAUGAAAAAAGAACUAUGCACCAACAAGGAGAAGGAACAACUGAAGUGAAAUCUGAUGUAUAUGCUGUUGUGUCUCAUCAGAAGAAGAGAAACAAAAAUAAGGUCACAGAACCACCUUCAGAGGACAUACAUUAUGCAGUUAUUUCAUUUCAGAGGAAAACCGAGGACAGAAAGCCAUAUAGGAACCCAGAAGACAGUGUCACUUACUCUGCCGUUGGCUUAAAAGGAACAGCAGACACAUACUGAGGACGCCACAAAACACCCAUGCCAAAGACGAUGAACAGUCGAAAGAAAAUAUUUCAGAAACUACUGCUUCUCUCAAAGCCAUGUAACCACCCUGAAAGAAUAUGGCAUAUUCCAUAUGCAGAUAUUUCUAUUAAUAUUUAAAAACUGAGAAGCAAGUAUUAAAAAUAACAGUAGCAGUCUGGGAAAGGUCAGGAAACUAUGUUAAGAUGGUUUGGAGUUUAGUUCCCUUCUACAUUAAUGCAGAGGACACCUCCUGGGGCAGCAUUCACUGCAAACCAGAUUUAUGAUCAUUAUUUCACUAGGCACUAUUUCAGCCAUGCUUGAUGUGCAGAUGAAGUGCAGUUUAUAAAGUGUGAAAUUGUUUAAAUUGUUUGAGAUGCUCUUUGAGGGUUCCUUUUUUAUCUGUAAGACAUUAUGUGAAACCACAUUUCAUAAUUGUGUAUAGGGGGCUGAAUGUUGGUUGUAGUAUUAAUCAACACAUCUAAUGUAGCACUGC